rnacentral:rRNA from 1 species
UAGGGAAUCUUCCACAAUGGACGAAAGUCUGAUGGAGCAACGCCGCGUGAGUGAAGAAGGGUUUCGGCUCGUAAAACUCUGUUGUUAAAGAAGAACAUAUCUGAGAGUAACUGUUCAGGUAUUGACGGUAUUUAACCAGAAAGCCACGGCUAACUACGUACACGA